GCUGGAUAAUGUUGUUAUCCAAAUUCAUCUGUCAAUGGACACAGGCUGAUGUCAUAUUUUGGCUAUUGUGAAGAACGCUACAAUGCACAUUUCUGGAGGUCAGUAAGUCCAAUAUCAAGGUGCCAGCAUCAGGCAUUAUGGCCAGCACACUUCCUGCGAAUUUGUACCACCACCCCUUAUCUCAUCUAUGCUUCUGCUCACAGCACUGCACUGGAGCCAGGGGAUGGAUACCUGGCACUUGUAUGUCCUAUGAAGAAAGAGAGGAGGAUACAUUGCUUCCCUAUGUAUCCUUAAGGGAUAGACCAGAGGAAAAGUUAAGUAAUAGAUAAACAAUCAAUAAUACCUAAUUGGUUUCCCAAUCAAUUAGCACUUACUGUGUUGGAUUUGUUCACUUUCAGCCAUAGUUACACCUUGAAUUUCUGUAUUUCCAAAGUGGGCUCUUUUUUUUCUAAGGAAUUUCCUCAAUUUUUUCGUGUAAGUAGGCUUCUGAGGAGUCUAUUUCACUGAUUUUUGUGAUAUAUUUAAUCAUUCCAGGGCUACAAAAUUUAAGCUGAAUUUAAAUUAUUCAUAAUAUAACAAUCUCUCUUCCUCUGUCUCUCUUUCUUUCUAUAUCUUUCAUUACAUAUAUGUAAUAAAAUAUUUUCAUUAUAUAUCUGUAUAUCUUUUAUAGAAAUCUUUUCAUUAUAUAUUUCAUAUAUAUUCAUGUAUCUUUCAUACAUU
rnacentral:lncRNA from 10 species